rnacentral:lncRNA from 1 species
UCCCAUUCCAGUUCCAGCGCUGUGGCCUGGAGGUCAUCACUGUCAAGGUAUUGGCCCUGGGUUCUCUGAUCUGCAUUCACUUUGUGAUAGGCCAUCUUUUUAACUUAAAGCCAAGACAGGAUUAGUUGAGUAGAAACAUUUUCACGAAGGCAUAUUUUCCAUCUGUCCUCAAAGACUCCAUGAUAAUUCUCCUCGGUCACCAGAAAGAAGCCCAGAUCCAAAAGUUAUUUCCAACGUCCAGACAAGAAAUCUCAUUUCCCCAAGCAGCUCCGUGCGCAGGGAGCACGCACUCGCAGGCAGCCCCGCGCAGUGGCAGAGCUGAGUGGAAGCGGCACGAGCGCAACCGUUGGUUCCCGCCG